AUUGAACGCUGGCGGCAGGCCCAACACAUGCAAGUCGAGCGGAUGAAGGGAGCUUGCUCCUGGAUUCAGCGGCGGACGGGUGAGUAAUGCCUAGGAAUCUGCCUGGUAGUGGGGGAUAACGUCCGGAAACGGGCGCUAAUACCGCAUACGUCCUGAGGGAGAAAGUGGGGGAUCUUCGGACCUCACGCUAUCAGAUGAGCCUAGGUCGGAUUAGCUAGUUGGUGGGGUAAAGGCCUACCAAGGCGACGAUCCGUAACUGGUCUGAGAGGAUGAUCAGUCACACUGGAACUGAGACACGGUCCAGACUCCUACGGGAGGCAGCAGUGGGGAAUAUUGGACAAUGGGCGAAAGCCUGAUCCAGCCAUGCCGCGUGUGUGAAGAAGGUCUUCGGAUAGUAAAGCACUUUAAGUUGGGAGGAAGGGCAGUAAGUUAAUACCUUGCUGUUUUGACGUUACCAACAGAAUAAGCACCGGCUAACUUCGUG
rnacentral:rRNA from 1 species